GUAUAGAGAGCUUGAGGAAUUACAAUCUGAUAUAGAAUACAAUAGGUUGUAUUAAAGGCUAAGUGGAAGGUGGAAAAUAAAGAACUUGAAGAAUUGAACAGUGAAACUAAUAGGAAAUUAACAGACAAUGGAAUUUCAGGUUAAUGCCGGCACCCUAAAGUAGGAUUUGGAGGGUAAAAAUGUUGCAGCCAUGAAUCUAUGAUUGAGGGAGACAGAGUCACUAGUUUGUUCC